UCCAACGAUUUACUCGAGCAGAAAAAUAUUCGUAGAAAAAGAUGCCUGUGAAACGUAUGUACGAAAUGGUUCCGCGGAAAAUCGUUGGAAAAUCGUGCGCUGUGACGAGCGCUUCGCGGAAGAAUCGAAAGUAAUUUGGUGAAGGGGGCGCGGCGAGGCAGGUCGCGCGAGUCGAUUUUCGAUCGAGAGCUACGCGAGUGAGGAGAAGAGAAAAUUUCUCGAUGGUUCUUCGUGGUUUGCUGGCACCAGCGGCGGCGCGAUGGACACGGAAUAAAACGUCGAAAAGGGGUCAAGAAAAACAAGCAGCCGGACAAUUAGGAUUAUCGCGUUAUGGACCGCAGGUGAUGAGCGUGUUGUGUUUAUGCACUACGGUACAUCAAACAGGUCAAAACAACAGCCAGGCUAGCAAGAUACUUCCGAGCACACCGCCGAUCUCAUCCGAGGAAGAGAGGAUAAACUCGUUGCAGGAAAUACCCACCGACGAGCUGGCUCUAUUAGCUAAGCUGGAGGAAGCCAAUAGGCUUAUCGAAUCGGAUGCAAAGUCGUUGAACUCGCUCCAAAGCAAUCACAGUAGGAAAGGUUCCGACACAUCUCAGGUGUCCGUGGCGUCGGGGGGCAGCGGAAAAAAUGGCGAUGCUGCACCCCGACGCCACAAUUCAGCUGAUGGUGAAGAAAAUACAUGGACCCUAUGGGGUCACAUCGUCGCUGAUUGGGAUUAUCAUUGGAAGAAGAGGAAAGAGUUCGUCAAAGACUUAGUACGUCAAGGAAUACCUCAUCAUUUUAGAGGUAUUGUUUGGCAACUAUUAAGUGGUGCUCAUGACUCUCCCGUGAAAAAGCAAUUCGCUGAUUAUAUCAAGGCCACGUCCGCAUGCGAAAGGAUAAUCAGGAGGGAUAUAGCCAGAACGUAUCCUGAGCAUGAUUUCUUUAAGGAGAAAGACGGGCUUGGUCAGGAGAGCUUGUUUAACGUUAUGAAAGCAUAUAGUCUUCAUGAUCGUGAAGUGGGAUACUGUCAAGGUUCGGGAUUUAUUGUAGGAUUACUCCUUAUGCAGCAAAUGCCAGAGGAGGAAGCUUUCGCUGUUCUGGUAGCGCUUAUGCAAGAGUAUCGUUUGCGAGAUAUGUUCAAGCCGAGUAUGGCUGAAUUAGGGGUGUGCAUGUAUCAGCUAGAACAUUUAGUUGCUGACACGCAUCCCGAGUUACACGCUCAUUUUACGGCUCAAGGUUUUCACACGUCGAUGUACGCAUCGUCUUGGUUUCUUACGCUUUUUACCACAGCGCUCAGCCUACCGCUGGCCUGCCGCAUUUUUGACGUGUUUCUGUCCGAAGGCAUGGAAAUUAUUUUCAAAGUUGCGCUGGCCAUGUUGCAUUUAGGCAAAGAAGAUUUGUUAAGCUUGGACAUGGAAGGCAUGUUGAAGUUCUUUCAGAAACAGCUACCUGGGAGAGCUGAAAAAGAUCCUGAUGGCCUCAUGAAUCUUGCCUAUGGUAUGAAAAUAAAUCCGAAGAGAAUGAAGAAAUUAGAAAAAGAUUAUACUGUAUUGAAAAUGAAAGAGCAAGAGGAGAUGGUUGAGCUCCGUAGGCUUAGAGCCGAGAAUAGGUUACUUAGGCAAAGAACUGAACUUUUGGAAGCUGAGUCCGCGGAGUUGGCUGAUAGAUUAGUUAGGGGUCAAGUUUCUCGAGCAGAAGAGGAAGAAACUGCCUUUGUUGCACAAAGAGAAUUAGCAGCUCUUCGACAUACCCAUCUUGAAACCAGUCACCAGCUUGAGCAAGCUCACGAGGAACUGCGAUCUUUGUCUCUUUUGCUAGAGGAAAAUGUAACAUCGAAACAAUCCUCUUUGGAUGAAAUAUUAUUAAAACAGGAAGCGUUGUCGCAAAAGGAAGAAAUGAUACAAUGUUUGCAAGAGGAAUUGGUAAGGGUUCGAUUGCAUGAGGCAGAGAAUGAUGCAACGAUAAGAGAACUUAGAGCAAGAAUACAAGAACUGGAACAAGAUAAAAAAACGUUGCGCGAAUCGACACCGGAUAAUUCUGUUGCUCAUUUACAAGAAGAGCUAAUUGCCGUGAAAUUAAGAGAAGCAGAGGCUAAUCUUUCUUUGAAGGAUCUUCGACAAAGAGUAACGGAAUUGAACAGUGCCUGGCAAAGACAUCUGCAAGAACAUCGUUCUGCUCAACCACAACCAGCAAGCGAUUCUACGCCUAAAAAACUUCUAUUUUGGGAAAACCGCGGUCAUGAAGUGCAAAAGUUCGUAGAAGAUUUAAUGACAACCAGAAUUCGGGAGAUGGAAGCUUUGACCGAAGUAAAAGAGUUAAGACUAAAAGUCAUGGAGCUUGAAACUCAAGUACAGGUUGCUACGAAUCAACUUCGUCGACAAGACGAAGGAGGGAAAUUACUUAAAGAGGAGCUAGAAGCUGCCUUGGCUAGGGAAAAGGAACUUACUGCCAAAUUACGAGAGCAGCAGCAUAAGUACUCCGACCUGGAGUCAAAAAUGAAGGAUGAAGCUAUGAUGGCUAGGAUACGUGAUGCGGAACAUGCACAGCAAGUGGCAGAACUCACUCAGAAAAUAUCUCUUCUUGAAUUAAAAAAUGAAGAGAUGCUUGCAGAAGGUGAGCUUAGGAAUAAUUUAGAUGACAAUGAAAGAGUCAGAGAACUGCAGGAUAAAGUUGCAGAAUUAAAAGCUGAGGUCAUCAGGCUAGAAAGUUGGAAGCAACGUUGGACAGGCCAUGGUGGGCAAAAUGUAAGAAGUUACAGUGUUGACACUGAAAGUGAGCUGGACGAGCGGGAUCUCAGAAUUUGUUUACAGGAUCAUAUCAAUGCGACUACACAGAACUCACCAGAGAUUAUUGAAAGUGAAAGUGAAACCGAACGAGAUAAUCGGGAGUACAGUUGUAAAACUUAAGUAGCCCGGAUAGCUCGUUCCUUAUAGCGACUUCCUAGGAUGUGAUAAUUACUUCCAAUUUUUUAUCCCUUCGAUCAUUAAUUCGCGCCUCGAGACAAGGGGACUUGGUCGUUUUCUUACACCUAUUGAUGGUUCCCGAGAGAAACGGUACCCCGCUGGAAAGGUAUAAUCCCACUUAUGGACUUAACAAUCUCGGUACGAUAUUCCAAAGGAGUAAGAAGGACGAGAAGGAGCGAGAGCAUUGAGGAAAAUGAGAAAGAUAGAACGCCGAAUGUAAAGACAAAAGUAAAAGAACCGUGGACCAUGGAGUGAUUUGGGGAGAGUUUGCGUCCAUGGGCGGCGCAAGUUGUGGCAGGUAGUUUUCCAAAUGGAGUCUAUCGGCCAGAGGAAAAAAGUAAU